rnacentral:rRNA from 1 species
AACGAACGCUGGCGGCGUGCUUAACACAUGCAAGUCGAACGCGAAAGGGGCUUCGGUCCUGAGUAAAGUGGCGCACGGGUGAGUAACGCGUAGAUAACCUGUCUUCAUGUCUGGAAUAAUACGCCGAAAGGGGUACUAAUACCGGAUAUCUUGCUUUUCAUAAGUUAUGCAAGCAAAGGUGGCCUCUGCAUAUGCUACUGCAUGAAGAGGGGUCUGCGUACCAUUAGCUAGUAGGUGGGGUAAUGGCCUACCUAGGCGACGAUGGUUAGCGGGUCUGAGAGGAUGAUCCGCCACACUGGCACUGGAACACGGGCCAGACUCCUACGGGAGGCAGCAGUGAGGAAUAUUGCGCAAUGGGGGAAACCCUGACGCAGCGACGCCGCGUGAGUGAGGAAAGGCCUUCGGGUCGUAAAGCUCUGUCAAGAGGAAAGAAGUGUACAAUGGCUAAUACCUGUUGUAUUUGACGGUACCUCUAAAGGAAGCACCGGCUAACUCCGUGCCAGCAGCAGC